CCGAGGCUCCCGGCACUUCCUGCCGCCGCCAUUUUGUCAAGUGAGGAGGAGGAGGAGGAGGAGGAAGCGGCGGUCGCGGGAGCGGCGGCGACCCCGGCACGGCUUCAACCAGGGAAAGAGGAGUCUCUUGGAUGGUUUCCAUUGAUCAACUCUAGAAGAGGAAGCCUCAUCUGGAGCCAGUUGCAUUGCUGCCUUGUUCUUCCUUUUACUGGGUGCCUGGUGAAGAAU